rnacentral:rRNA from 1 species
UACGUAGGGUGCGAGCGUUUGUCCGGAAUUAUUGGGCGUAAAGAGCGCGCAGGCGGUCUAUCAAGUCAGAUGUGAAAUAUCCAGGCUUAACCUGGAGGGGUCAUUUUGAAAACUGGUAGACUAGAGUACAGCAGAGGAUAGUGGAAAUUCCCCGGGUGUAGUGGUGAAAUGCGUAGAUAUCGGGAGGAACACCAGUGGCGAAGGCGACUAUCUGGGCUGAAACUGACGCUGAGGCGCGAAGGCUAGGGGAGCAAACAGG